rnacentral:lncRNA from 1 species
GGCUUCCGCUAAAUGUCACAUACAGAAUUUAUUUACGACUUUGCGACGCACGUGUUUGAAGCAAACUUCUGACGUCUCCUCUCCUUUUAAAGAAAGCUGUUGUUGUGACGAAAAAUUUUCAAAAGCAAGAAAAAUCUCUGAUUCAAAACUUUAAUUAUCCUUUGACUUUAAUAUAGGUAAUUGAUUAGGGAGACUACUUUAAAGUCGUUUGAGUGACACGUGUGUUUCAAGCAUAGUUUAAGUCUUAACUUUUUCAUUUACGAUGGUCAAGAAAAGAAAGUAAAUGUUUAGUGUUUAUUCAUUAAAUGUAGACUCUAAAAUAAGUUUGAGAGAAUAAUCAUAGACACAAUGGGG